CAGUAGCCACGGGAAUACGAAGGGGGCUAGCGUUGUUCGGAUUUACUGGGCGUAAAGGGCGCGUAGGCGGACUGAUAAGUCAGGGGUGAAAUCCCAAGGCUCAACCUUGGAACUGCCUUUGAUACUGUUUGUCUUGAGUUCGAGAGAGGUAAGUGGAACUGCGAGUGUUGAGGUGAAAUUCGUAGAUAUUCGCAAGAACGCCAGUGGCGAAGGCGGCUUACUGGCUCGAAACUGACGCUGAGGCGCGAAAGCGUGGGGAGCAAACAGGAUUAGAUACCCGUGUAGUCCCUGUCUCUUAUAC
rnacentral:rRNA from 1 species